ensembl:misc_RNA Metazoa_SRP Metazoan signal recognition particle RNA
GCUGGGUGUGGUGGCGCACACCUGUAGUCCCAGCUACUCAGGAGGCUGAGGCAGGAGAAUCGCUUGAACCCAGGAGACGGAGGUUGAAGUGAGCUGAAAUGGUGCCACUGCACUCCAGCCUGGGCCACAGAGCGAGACUCUGUCUCAA